rnacentral:rRNA from 1 species
UAGGGAAUCUUCCGCAAUGGGCGAAAGCCUGACGGAGCAACGCCGCGUGAGUGAUGAAGGUCUUCGGAUCGUAAAACUCUGUUAUUAGGGAAGAACAAAUGUGUAAGUAACUAUGCACGUCUUGACGGUACCUAAUCAGAAAGCCACGGCUAACUACGUGCCAGCAGCCGCGGUAAUACGUAGGUGGCAAGCGUUAUCCGGAAUUAUUGGGCGUAAAGCGCGCGUAGGCGGUUUUUUAAGUCUGACGUGAAAGCCCACGGCUCAACCGUGGAGGGUCAUUGGAAACUGGAAAACUUGAGUGCAGAAGAGGAAAGUGGAAUUCCAUGUGUAGCGGUGAAAUGCGCAGAGAUAUGGAGGAACACCAGUGGCGAAGGCGACUUUCUGGUCUGUAACUGACGCUGAUGUGCGAAGGCGUGGGGAUCAAACAGG